rnacentral:rRNA from 1 species
GACGAGGGGUCCUAGCGUUGUUCGGAAUCACUGGGCGUAAAGCGUAUGUAGGCGGCUCUUUAAGUCGGGUGUGAAAUCCCAUGGCUCAACCAUGGAAUUGCAUUCGAUACUGUUGAGCUUGAGUGUGGGAGAGAUUGGUAGAAUACCUGGUGUAGUGGUGAAAUACGUAGAUAUCAGGUGGAAUACCGGUGGCGAAGGCGGCCAAUUGGCCCAACACUGACGCUGAGAUACGAAAGCGUGGGGAUCAAACAGG